GGUGCUUUCACACUGCUUUAUUUUCUGGGAUUAUUAUGACCAUAUUCCCAAGUGGGCUGAGGACCACGCAUAAUCGGACAGAUCUUUUUUCCCUUUUCCUUGGUCCGUAAGCCGUAAACAUUCUGUAAAUGAAAUUCACAGGGCUGGUAUUCGUAGUUUUCACACAACGUCACAUUCCAAAGAAAACGCUCCCUUGGACGUUAUUUUCCCGUUGCCUGCCAACCAAUAUGCAAGUGAUACACUGUUACUUUGAGUUUGUUACUUUUGCGUUGCCAAAAUGCUGGAUGGUUGUUGUUCCUUCAGAUUUACUAAUCAAGGAGGAGAUAAGCCUGAGCUGUGUUAGAGCACUGAACCAACAGCCAUUAGAUGCAUUGUCCUGAGAGGACUUCCAGUCAUUCUUGAGGGUGAUGCAUCUAUAUUCUUUAAGAGCAAAUUUUAAUGAGGGAGACUCCAAAAACUCCUCAAGAGUGGGGAUCAUCCUAGAGGGCAGCCUUGUAAUGGAAGCACUCACCAACGUACCUCAUGCAAUUGUUGGCAAAGACACAUUUUGAUAAUUUUAUGAAAACAAGGUCUUACUGUUAUUUUGGAUUUGCAUCUGGUAUUUCACACAGCAUCAUUGUUAAUACAUAUUUGUUGCUUUGUUGUGUAUCUAAAUAAAAUAAAUGA